rnacentral:rRNA from 1 species
UACGGAGGGUGCAAGCGUUGUCCGGAUUCAUUGGGUUUAAAGGGUGCGUAGGCGGUCGUGCAAGUCAGUGGUGAAAUACCGGGGCUCAACCUUGGAACUGCCACAGAUACUGCAUGGCUUGAGUGCGCCCGAGGCGGCUGGAACGCGUAGUGUAGCGGUGAAAUGCUUAGAUAUUACGCAGAACACCGAUUGCGAAGGCAGGUCGCUGGGGCGCAACUGACGCUGAGGCACGAAAGUGCGGGGAUCGAACAGG